rnacentral:rRNA from 1 species
AUUGAACGCUGGCGGCAGGCCUAACACAUGCAAGUCGAGCGGAUGAAGGGAGCUUGCUCCUGGAUUCAGCGGCGGACGGGUGAGUAAUGCCUAGGAAUCUGCCUGGUAGUGGGGGAUAACGUCCGGAAACGGGCGCUAAUACCGCAUACGUCCUGAGGGAGAAAGUGGGGGAUCUUCGGACCUCACGCUGUCAGAUGAGCCUAGGUCGGAUUAGCUAGUUGGUGGGGUAAAGGCCUACCAAGGCGACGAUCCGUAACUGGUCUGAGAGGAUGAUCAGUCACACUGGAACUGAGACACGGUCCAGACUCCUACGGGAGGCAGCAGUGGGGAAUAUUAGACAAUGGGCGAAAGCCUGAUCCAGCCAUGCCGCGUGUGUGAAGAAGGUCUUCGGAUUGUAAAGCACUUUAAGUUGGGAGGAAGGGCAGUAAGUUAAUACCUUGCUGUUUUGACGUUACCAACAGAAUAAGCACCGGCUAACUUCGUG